AUUGAACGCUGGCGGCAGGCCUAACACAUGCAAGUCGAGCGGCAGCGCGGGGGCAACCCUGGCGGCGAGCGGCGAACGGGUGAGGAGCACAUGGGAAUCUGCCCUGUAGUGGGGGAUAACUCAGGGAAACUUGAGGUAAUACCGCAUACGUCCUACGGGAGAAAGCGGGGGAUCGCAAGACCUCGCGCUAUAGGAGGAGCCCAUGUCCGAUUAGCUAGUUGGUAGGGUAAAGGCCUACCAAGGCGACGAUCGGUAACUGGUCUGAGAGGAUGGUCAGUCACACUGGAACUGAGACACGGUCCAGACUCCUACGGGAGGCAGCAGUGGGGAAUAUUGGACAAUGGGGGCAACCCUGAUCCAGCCAUGCCGCGUGUGUGAAGAAGGCCUUCGGGUUGUAAAGCACUUUAAGCAGGGAGGAAGGCUCGAUGGUUAAUAACCAUCGGGAGUGACGUUACCUGCAGAAUAAGCACCGGCAAACUCCGUGCCAGCAGCCGCCGUAACAC
rnacentral:rRNA from 1 species